rnacentral:tRNA from 2 species
GGAGAGGUGGCCGAGUGGUUUAAGGCGCACGCUUGGAAAGCGUGUGUACUGUUAAAGGUACCGUGGGUUCGAAUCCCACCCUCUCCGCCA